AUGGCCUUCUUCGAAGCAUGUGGGGCAUGCUGAGUGCCCAGUGAAGGUCCAGAGUGGAGCUGUGCACUGGCUGUGGAAGUUGACUGUGCUUACCUUUCAGUUUUGUGUAUUUACUGAAAUGGUUUUCAUCCACCUUAGCUAGUUAUCUGAAGAAACCUAUGGUGUCUUACCUUCGAUUUUUGAAAGAACAGCUACUCAUAUUUAAAGUUCAGAACCCAGAUGCAAAAAAUUCAGAACUAAUUAAAAGAAUCACUGAGCUAUGGAGAGAACUUGCUGAUUCAGAGAAAAAAAUAUAUGAAGAUGCUAACAGGGCAGUCUGGCAGGCAUUCAGAGAAGAGAUAAACAGAAUUCAGGAACAGCUAACUCCAAGUCAGAUAAUAUCUUUGGAAAAGAAAUCAUGCAAAAACUUUAAAAAAAGAAAGCGUUAAUAAAAAAGAGAAAGCUAAUAAUGCUUGGAAAACCAGAAAGAUCUUGCUCAGCUUACAACAUUUUUGUAUCUGAAAGCUUCCAAGAAGCUAAGGAUGGUUCAUCACAGGCAAAGCUGAAGACUGUAAAUGAAAACUGGAAAAAUCUGUCUAGUUCUCAAAACAAGUAUACAUUCAGCUUGCUAAAGAUGAUAAAAUUCAUUAUGAUAAUGAAAUGAAGUCUUGGGAAGAACAAAUGAUUGAAGUUGGACAAAAUGAUUUUAUACAUCUUGAAAUGAAGCAACCACCGAAAUUUGGCAAUGAGGAGUGUUAA
rnacentral:lncRNA from 1 species